GGAAUCUGCCUGGUAGUGGGGGAUAACGUUCGGCCACGGACGCUAAUACCGCAUACGUCCUACGGGAGAAAGCAGGGGACCUUCGGGCCUUGCGCUAUCAGAUGAGCCUAGGUCGGAUUAGCUAGUUGGUGAGGUAAUGGCUCACCAAGGCGACGAUCCGUAACUGGUCUGAGAGGAUGAUCAGUCACACUGGAACUGAGACACGGUCCAGACUCCUACGGGAGGCAGCAGAGGGGAAUAUUGGACAAUGGGCGAAAGCCUGAUCCAGCCAUGCCGCGUGUGUGAAGAAGGUCUUCGGAUUGUAAAGCACUUUAAGUUGGGAGGAAGGGUUGUAGAUUAAUACUCUGCAAUUUUGACGUUACCGACAGAAUAAGCACCGGCUAACUCUGUGCCAGCAGCCGCGGUAAUACAGAGGGUGCAAGCGUUAAUCGGAAUUACUGGGCGUAAAGCGCGCGUAGGUGGUUUGUUAAGUUGGAUGUGAAAUCCCCGGGCUCAACCUGGGAACUGCAUUCAAAACUGACUGACUAGAGUAUGGUAGAGGGUGGUGGAAUUUCCUGUGUAGCGGUGAAAUGCGUAGAUAUAGGAAGGAACACCAGUGGCGAAGGCGACCACCUGGACUAAUACUGACACUGAGGUGCGAAAGCGUGGGGAGCAAACAGGAUUAGAUACCCUGGUAGUCCACGCCGUAAACGAUGUCAACUAGCCGUUGGAAGCCUUGAGCUUUUAGUGGGCGCAGCUAACGCAUUAAGUUGACCGCCUGGGGAGUACGGCCGCAAG
rnacentral:rRNA from 1 species